rnacentral:misc_RNA from 1 species
CAACCCUCAAGCCCCGCUUGGUGUUGGGCCCCGCCCGCGUGGCCGGCCCAAAAGAUAGUGGCGGCGCCGCCUAGCCCUAAGCGCAGUACAGCUCUCGCUCUAGGGCCUAGCGGUGGCCUGCCAGAACCCCCCAACUCUGUGG